rnacentral:rRNA from 1 species
AGCGAACGCUGGCGGCAGGCUUAACACAUGCAAGUCGAGCGGGCAUAGCAAUAUGUCGGCGGCAGACGGGUGAGGAACGCGUGGGAACGUACCUUUUGGUUCGGAACAACUGAGGGAAACUUCAGCUAAUACCGGCUAAGCCCUUACGGGGAAAGAUUUAUCGCCGAAAGAUCGGCCCGCGUCUGAUUAGCUUGUUGGUGAGGUAAUGGCUCACCAAGGCGGCGAUCAGUAGCUGGUAUGAGAGGAUGAUCAGCCACAUUGGGACUGAGACACGGCCCAAACUCUUACGGGAGGCAGCAGGGGGGAAUAUGGGACAACGGGCGCAAGCCUGAGGCAGCCAGGCCGUGAGAGUGAUGAAGGACCUAGGGUUGUAAAGCUCUUUUGUGCGGGAAGAUAAUGACGGUACCGCAAGAAUAAGCACCGGCUACCUUCGU